rnacentral:lncRNA from 1 species
UCUGCUGCGGUCACCCUUUUCUCUGUGGCCAUUCAGCACGCUUCACUCUUAAAAGAGGCAAUGUUGAGCCUCUUGUAAGAAUUUUGACUUUCGUUCUGAGUAAAAUGGGAAGUUAUUGCAGGACUUUGAACAGAUGAAUGAUAGCAGCUGUCUUACAUUUAUGAAGCUCACUCUGGCUGCUGUUUUGAGAAUGGACUAUGGAGUUUAAGUUAGAGGAAGAGAGAUAGGGAGGAGGUUAUUGGGUUAGGCCAGGUGAGAAAGGAUGGUGGUUCAGAACAGGGCAGUAACCAAGGAAGUGGUGGGUGGUCAGAUACUGCAUAUAUUUGAAGGGAGAACCCAACAGGAACUCUUGACAGACUGGAUGUGAGAUGUGGCAGAGAGAGAAGAUUCAUAGCUAACUCUAAGACUUUUGACCUGAGCAGAUGAAAGGAUGCAGUUACCAUGAAGGCUGCAGAUGAGGCUGUGCAAGCAUGACACCAGCAUCUGCUCCACUUCUGAUGAGGCCUCAUGAAAGAAGAUGAAGAGGGAGCCGGCUUAUCACAGGGCAAGAGCAGGAGCAACAGAGAUGGGGAGACGUGCCAAGCUGUUUUAAACAACUAGGUCUCUCAUGAACUACCAGAGCGAGAACACACUCAUCACCAAGGUGAUGGUGCUAAGCCAUGCAUGAGGGAUCCAUGCCUGUGAUCCAAACACCUCCUACCAGUCCCCACCUCCAACAAUGGGAUUACAUUUCAACAUGAGAUUUGAGGGUAGCAAAUAUCCAAACUAUAACAUCCUCUCCAAAUUUCCUCAUGCUCAUUUUUAAUUCCUCUCACCCACCUGUCCCCCUGCCCUCAUCUCUUGGAAACCACUGUUCUGCUUUCUGUCACUGUUGAGACAGAUAGGCGGGUUGGUUCCGUUUUAAUGUGGUCUGGAGGAAAAGAACAAAAGCCCCUUAAGCUUAAGUGCUAGCUUACCUCUCAGCCAAUUAGUAACAAAACGCCUAAGAAACUGUUAAAAACAACUUCCUCCCUCAGGGAGCUAGGGACUUCCCCAGGGCUCUGCAUGUGCAGUUAGACAUCAUCUCCAACCUACAGUUACCCCUUCCUCAUUUCAGUGCUAACAAUCACACCCAGGGCAUGAAGAUUUAAAAUGCUAAUGCUACAUAGGAUGUAUGAAGAAGCAUGUAGAGCCACUGUGCAAGUGCUAGAAAAAACCCUCCCAUACAUGCCCUGACCCAACCCUUCCCUAGAGAGAGACUCAUUAAAACUAAUCCACACGCUACCCUCAGGAGGCAGCCCAUUCCUUUUGCUUUCAUGGUGCUGGCUUCUUGUGCACAAGCUGAAUAAAGUUUCCUUUGCUGCUAUGUUUGGUGAUCUCUCUUGAUUUCUAUACUGGGGGAUUGCAAGAAUCCAGGGCACCUGCCAGUAACACUAUGAAUUAGUUUGUAGUUUCUAAAAUUUCAUAUAAAUGGGAGUCAUACAAUAUACAUACACCUUUCUUUUUUGGUCUGGUUUCUUUCACUCAGGAUAAAUAUCUUGAGAUUCAUCCAUGACAUUGCAUGUAGCUACUGCCGUUUCUUUUUAUUCCUCAGAAGUAUUCCAUGGUUUGGAUUUGUAUGGAUAUAUCACAAUUUAUCCCUUCAUCUGUUGAUGAUAUUUGGGUUGUUUCCAGUUUCUGGCCAUUUCAAAUAAAGCUACUAUAAAUAAAUCUUUGUA